AGAUCACUAGGCCUGGAGCUGCUUCCAAGAAACCUGAGAUCGCCCAGGCGAUCACCCUGACUACAGAGCAGCUCAGUCUGUCACCGGGGCAACUGAUCGUGGUCCAUGCCAAGAACUCCUCCGGCUGGUGGCUUGGGGAAUUGCAGGUCCGAGGGAAGGGGCCACGAAGAGGCUGGUUCCGCUCCUCUCAUGUCAAACUGCUCCCUCCCACAAGCAGCAAGACUACCCCUGCACCUGUCCCAGGUCAUCGCCAGGUACAACUUCACAG